GAUCCUGGCUCAGGAUGAACGCUAGCUACAGGCUUAACACAUGCAAGUCGAGGGGCAGCAUGUGGUUGCUUGCAACCAAUGAUGGCGACCGGCGCACGGGUGAGUAACGCGUAUCCAACCUCCCCUUAGUAGAGGAUAGCCCGGCGAAAGUCGGAUUAAUACUCUAUGUUCUUCAAUGCGGACAUCUAAGUUGAAGCAAAGAUUUAUCGCUAAGGGAUGGGGAUGCGUCUGAUUAGGUUGCAGGCGGGGUAACGGCCCACCUGGCCUACGAUCAGUAGGGUUCUGAGAGGAAGGUCCCCCACACUGGUACUGAGACACGGACCAGACUCCUACGGGAGGCAGCGGUGAGGAAUAUUGGUCAAUGGGCGCGAGCCUGAACCAGCCAAGUAGCGUGCAGGACGACUGCCCUAUGGGUUGUAAACUGUCUUUUAUCAGGGAAUAAAGUGAGGCACGCGUGUCCUUUUUGUAUGUACCUGGUGAAUAAGGACCGGCUAAUUCCGUGCCAGCCGCCGC
rnacentral:rRNA from 1 species